GAGGCUCAGGGAGCUUGCGAGCGUGUCGCCCGUGGGCGAGUCAGGAGGGGAUGCUCCAGACGGGGGGCCGCGGGGGGCCGGCAAAGAGCCCAGGUGUGGCCUCAGCUCCCACUGGGGACGGCCGGGCCCCUCUCCUGCGGGGAGGCUUCCCAAAGGGGGGCCCUUCCCUUUGGGUUUAUUCUCCAGAGCCCAGCGCGGCAGGUCCUUCCUAACAGGCUGCUCCCAGGCACGGCCGGACCUCGCACUCGGGGCCGGAGCGUCCUUUCCCCAGAGCGGAGCCCCCCGGCUCGAGGCCUCCCGGCGUCCUGGAGCUGGCAGCGGGGCGUCCCCAGGGGCCCGGCAGACACAGGACAGGCUGUCAGCUGUUUAUCAAGCGAUGUCAUCACUCCUCCCGGGCAGUGCGAUGCCGGCGGGCGGCUGGCAAGGGGCUGGCGGGGACGGACUCUCGGGCGCUCCUGGCCCCCAGGAGAAGGCGGGCUCGUGCCCACCUCCGGCCCCUACUUGGAUCCUGGCACGCCAGGACACGCCUGCACGUGUGCGCGCACGAGCCCCCCUCCCCCAUCCUGGUUCCCAAGCCCCCUCCCGCCGCCCGAGGUCCCUGGCGGGGCUCCGGCCAGCAAGCCGGGGAGCCGGGGCCGCUCGAGGCUUUGUUCCCACGCCCCCACCCCCAGCUCUAGCCAGCUGCCAGCGGAGCCUCCAUCGGGGUGGGCAGGGUGCCAGCUCCGGCCCUCAGUAAGGGACUGUCCUUCCCCAAAAGGCUCCACACGGCUUAAGGAACGGGGGAGGGGCACAGAGCACCCAAAACCCAGCCGGGAGGGUCCAGGCCCCCUCCGCGGCCAGGGGCACCCUGACCGGCCCGGCGGUCCUUACUCCCCCCUUUGUCUCCCCAGCUGUCCACUCAGCCUCCAUGUUUCCCAAGUCCCAGCAGGCAGCCCCCAGGCACAGGCAGCACCGGGGCAGGAGCGGAGAGGGCGCGGGCUCGGCUUGGGCAGAUUGUUUACAAAGGCCAGCCCACGUCCCCGGCCCACAACAAGGCAACCCACCAAACAGACACAAACCCAGCCCACACCCCGCAGCCCUGGUGCCCCGAGCGCCUGGACACUGGGGGAGGGCUCAGUACCUGCAUCUCUCCGGCCAAGGGGCAGCCCGCCCCCUUCCCUGCCCCGCCAGUGCCCGGUGCCCGCGGCUAGCGGCCAGGCGGCCCCGGCUCCCCCUGCGGGCUGUGUGCGGGUUAGGCUUGGCGGAGGAGUCUUGGCCGCUACCAUGGAGAUGGGUCUUUGUGUGGCCAGGGAAGGGGAGGGGCAUCUGGGCCCCACGCCCACAGCCGGGGGAGGCGCUGCUCAGGCCCCCCCAGCCUCCCCUAGCUAGGUCCGGGAGAAGCUUCCAAACCUUCUCCCUUCCUCGUUUUCCUUGGGGCGCAAGGCAAUGGCUGUAGCGGGGGAAGGUGAGGGGCCCAGGGGCAGUGGGCAGGAGGAGGUGGGUGCUCGGGCCCCUGGGUGGAGACGGAUGGCAGUUCUUGAUCGCUGAGAACGGAUCUUCGGAGAUGCGGGAGACUUGGGGGUGCUGGGGGAUAGUCCCGGGCGUUCAGAUAUCGGAGAGGAGGUAGUCCUCAGUCACCCCCUGCUGAGAAGGGGGGAUAGGGAGCAUUGUCGACCACUGGGGGAUCUCCACUUGGGGGCGGGGGAGGGGGGCGAUGAAAGGUGGGGAGGUUCCCGAGGGGAGCCGUCCAGGAAUGCGAGGAGAUGGGGGUGGGGACGAUCUGCAGCCGCCACAGUCAGGUCCAGGGCCCACUUUAUAUUUGUUUUCUUAAACUCUCAGCCGGAGUCCCACAUUCCUCCCUCCCCUCCUCCCUCCCUCCCUCCCUCAGGCGCUGGGGCAAGGAUGGGGGAGGGCCCGGAGCCGGGCAGCUGGCCUCCGCAAGGUCUCCCCCCCACGAUCUGCCCCAACCUGGCCCCGGGGGUGUGGGUGGAAGCCCUGCUAGGAGAUUUCCUUAGCCUGGGUACCCAGGCAGCCGCUCCAUCAGCUUCAUCCAGGCACACCAGCCCUCGGCGCCCCCCACCAACGCCACAUUCACACUCACAACAUACGUUCGCUCUGGAUUCCAAACCCAGGCAAGCCCCAGCAGGCCCCAGUGCCUUUCACUCUUAGGAAAAGGAGGGAAGCUCAAUCCCGGAGCCUGCCCUGGGGCCCCGCCCAUCCCCACGGUGGAGGGGUCAGAACGUGAGCUUCUUCCGUCUUUCGUCGCCCGGUAGUGUAAGGU
ensembl:lncRNA